rnacentral:rRNA from 1 species
UACGGGGGGAGCAAGCGUUGUCCGGAUUUAUUGGGCGUAAAGAGCGUGUAGGCGGCCAGGUAGGUCCGUUGUGAAAACUCGAGGCUCAACCUCGAGACGUCGGCGGAAACCCUCUGGCUAGAGUCCGGAAGAGGAGAGUGGAAUUCCUGGUGUAGCGGUGAGAUGCGCAGAUAUCAGGAGGAACACCGGUGGCGAAGGCGGGUCUCUGGGCCGAUACUGACGCUGAGGAGCGAAAGCGUGGGGAGCGAACAGG